AUGAAAUAGAAAUUCAUUUGACAUUAGUCGUUUGUACUUGGUAGAACCUAACCUAUAAAUAAUAACACCUAACCUAAAACAACAACAGCAACAACUUGAGAUUGGAAGAGGCAGAUGUUUCUACUCUUGUGCCGUUAUCAGUGCGACGAUGUUUAGUAAUAAGAAGAACAGUUUACCUCCAAGACCGCUUUUGCCUAGUCAGGAACAUAUGUUGGAAGAUUUGAAUAAUGCUGUCGUGGACGAUGUGGCGUUUAAAAUCAUAAAUGAUUUACGUAUAAAGGAAUCUUACGGCCUGUCAAGUACUAAUAAUUCUGAUGACAUAUAUAAGAAAGUCAAAACCUAUUUAAAUACUAAACAGCAAUUGAAGCAGCUGGAAUAUACUUUGAGGAAAGAAGAACAACAAUUGCAGACAAAUAAUGAGGAAAUAAGGAGAUUAGCAGACGACAUUAGAAAGCAGGCUGAAGCUGCUUUAAUAACAUACGAAUAAUAAGCUCUUUAUGAUAUUAAUAUUAUCUUAAAUAUUGGUUUGUCUGUCAUCUUUGAGAUUAUAUCAAGAUACAUCCUUAAAUAAAUAUUUACUAUGAAUUUAUCUGCGUCAUCUUUCUAUUAUAUGAUUAAAAUACUCAAUAUGGUAGAAACGCUCAAUAGUAUCCUAUAUAUGCAAGGUAC